rnacentral:rRNA from 1 species
GAUGAACGCUAGCUACAGGCUUAACACAUGCAAGUCGAGGGGCAGCGGGAUUGAAGCUUGCUUCAAUUGCCGGCGACCGGCGCACGGGUGAGUAACGCGUAUCCAACCUUCCGUACACUCAGGGAUAGCCUUUCGAAAGAAAGAUUAAUACCUGAUGGUAUCUUAAGCACACAUGUAAUUAAGAUUAAAGAUUUAUCGGUGUACGAUGGGGAUGCGUUCCAUUAGGUAGUAGGCGGGGUAACGGCCCACCUAGCCAACGAUGGAUAGGGGUUCUGAGAGGAAGGUCCCCCCACAUUGGAACUGAGACACGGUCCAAACUCCUACGGGAGGCAGCAGUGAGGAAUAUUGGUCAAUGGACGAGAGUCUGAACCAGCCAAGUAGCGUGAAGGAUGAAGGUCCUACGGAUUGUAAACUUCUUUAUAAGGGAAUAAACCCUCCACGUGUGGGAGCUUGUAUGUACCUUAUGAAUAAGCAUCGGCUAACUCCGUG